AACAAUAGGAGGGUCCAUUAGCCUUCCGAGGAUUUAGGCCUGCGAGGGCAUGGAAAACAUCACUGCUAAGAAUCUUAAUAGGUAGCAUGAAGUAGUUACACACAAAUCCUAAGUUAGUCAAAAUCCUUUGUCAAUAAGACUAUGACUAAUGUAUUAGUUCGAGCCUUCUUCAAUGCAAUUAUUUAUUAUACUUUGGAACACUUGUUUCAUAAAGAAAACACCUUAUUUGUAUAUGUUUACAAGAAAUGACAAUCCAUAUGUAACCAUAACAUGGAAAAUUAGUCAGAAUUCAAGAAUUUGAAUUUAUUACCUGGAAAUUGGCUUGCCCUCCACAUUCCUGGAGGGCCCUGCCACUGCGCCUUAAACAACACAAGAGUAACCUGCUCGCCUACUGGCUAUCUUCCUGGGCUAGAAAAUAUGGAAGUGAUGACCUGCUGAAGUACAGAAUAUAUCAUAAUGACAGAAAGGCUCACUUGUCUUGUUUGGUGAUCCUCUAACAGAAAAGUACCAGAAGAAGAUCUACAAACAGGGCACCAUAGCAUCAUCAUUCAACAUGUUGGUGACAUUAGUGUAUCUAGCAAAAAUUGUGUUUUACUUGACAGUAUGCCUGUAGCUGAAACAACAUGCAUUGCUAUGGCUGUAGCUGGAUUAGCAGUAGGAUUGUAUGUAUUCACUAUUGAAAAUUCCAAAGCCUUUAAACACUUUCCCAGUUUUAUAUCAUCAUAUCUCUUAAAUAUUAAGUAAGAAAAAGGGAAAACUCAGAAAUCAAAAUCUGCAAUGUUAAACCAAAUGAAAUAAAGAUGGUAAUGAGCUACAAGAAUGCAUGAAUUUGGUCACACACACACACACACACACACACACACUUGUUCCUUAUAGAUUAGACUUACCUUUAGGAUUAAUGUUAAGUAUUUCCCCAACCCCUCUGUACAUUUUCAGUUUGUUAACUGCCUAAAUAAUAAACUGUUUAUUAUUAUUAUUAUUAUUAUUAUUAUUAUUAUUAUUAUUAUUAUUAUUAUUAUUAUUAUUAUUAUUACACACACACACACACACACACACACAAGCAGCCAUACACAUAUGCAUAAGUAAAUAUUUUUAUGCAGAUACAUUAGAAGAGUUUUGUUUUCAUUGUUUUCAGCAUAUUUUGCAUAAUAUAAUUAAUGAAUCCUAUAUAAACUAUUUUCUUUACUUUCUACAGUUUUAAAGGAUAUGAACAUGUAUGUCUUAUUCUGUUAAAACCAUGUAUUAUGAAUUAUAAAUUGUAUGGGUUUUUUUCCUAGUCUUGAUGAGGGGUCAUGCAUUACUAACUGUUAAUGAAUUUGAUAGGUAUAUAUCUCAUUAGCUCAUUAAUUAUAGAACAGACUGUAGGAGUUUGUGUUAAGAUGUGUAUAUAAACCUGGGUCAGUACUUGUGUACAUACAUAUAGAAUGGCCAAAUAUACUUUUCUAGUGAAUCAUAUUUUUCAAAUCUAUGAAGUGUAGUGAAAUAAUGAAGAGGUAGU